CCCGAUUGGUUGCAUGGGCUUUCUACGGGGAUCUGGUCAGCGAUUCGCACGCCUUCGGUUAGGUCGAUUGCUGCCCACAGCUUCUGGUCUUUUCUUUACAUUGGUUGCCGCUUUCUUACGGAUUUCUGGGCGAUUCUACAACAGCGUCGAUGGUUGUUUUGGAUUUGUCUUCGUCUUCUCUCCUCUUACUAUAAAUAGCAUCUCCUUUGCCCGUUUGUUCCCCAUUCCACUGCCUUCCAUUUCCUUCCUCUUGUUCUUUCUUGCCCUGGCCAUGGUUGCUUCUGCUUCUGUUCGCUAUGUGCGGCGCCGUCGGGGUCGUCCUCCUGGGAUUCGGGCCUCCGUUAAUGCAUGUGUUCGUCGUACUGGCGAGCCUGUUCCUCCUGCUGAUUCAUCGUCAGUGACACCAGCCGUUGCUAUGUGUCGUCAGUCCGCUGGAGUUCAUUCAGGGAGGCGUUCCCGCUCCGCAGCGGCUCGCCAGCCGCUCUGUUCUCGCCGGCCUGGUGUGUUUGUCUAUUUUUGUGCGUUUGUACCUUUGUCUGGAUCCUGCUUCUUCCUUUUGUUUAGUAUGCGAGCGUCUUACUUGCUUACUCUAUUUUUUAGGUGUACAGUGUUCUGACUCCGAAUAGUUUCUCCAUGGAGAUUUCCAUAGCCGUCGCCGGGAGAUUUCGUUAGGGAAGCGGCCUGUUGACUCUACUGUUGGUAAGUGUGUCUAUUUUUUUGGUAUACGCAACUGACCCUUGUUGAUGCAGCCUGUUUGUUCUUGCUGCUUCUGAUAUUGUGGUCAGCUUUCUCUUUCUUUCUUGCAGAUUCUGUUAUUAGUUGUGCUCCUUCCUUCGUGGGUCAUGGCUUUCCAUAUGUUGUUCGUCCUGCCGGUGUGCCACCUAGUACUUUAUGUUGUUCUUUUUCUUUUAAUCCAGUCCGCUUAGUUGUUCGCCUUCCUCUCUCUUCUGCUAUUCAUUUUCUUCAUUGUAAGAUGCGGCGGUUUUGUUUGGCCUCUGUUGCUCUCCUGCUGGUUGGCCUCGAAGAUCACUGUUCUCAGCCGAAGCUGUUCGGCCAUGUGAGUUUUUGUUGUUUUUUGAUGUGGUAUGUGAGGGAGUCCUGGAUUAGGGGGUAUUCGGACAGCCGAACUAUAUACAUCGUCCGGACUAUCGAAGCGUGAAGAUACAAGACUCAAGACUUCGGCCCGUGUCCGGAUGGGACUCUCCUUUGCGUGGACGACAAGCUUGGCGAUCCGGAUAUUAUGUUUCCUUCCUUGUAACCGACUCCAUGUAAACCCUAGCCCUCUCCGGUGUCUAUAUAAACCAUAGAGGAUGGUCCUUAGAAGGCCGAUCACAAUUAUAAUCAUACCAUCAUAGGCUAGCUUUUAGCGUUUAGCCUCUACGAUCUCGUGGUAGAUCUACUCUUGUACUACUCAUAUCUUCAAUAUUAAUCAAGCAGGAAGUCGGGUUUUACCUCCAUCGAGAGGGACCAAACACGGGUAAACAUUGUGUCCCUUGCUUCCUGUUACCAUCAGCCUAAGACGCACAGAUCAGGACCCCCUACCCGAGAUCCGCCGGUUUUGACACCGACAUUGGUGCUUUCAUUGAGAGUUCCUCUGUGCCGUCGCUUCAAGGCUUGAUGGCGUCUUCAAUCGUCAACAACACGGCCCAGGGUGAGACUUUUCUCCCCGGACAGAUCUUUGUGUUCGGCG
rnacentral:lncRNA from 1 species